rnacentral:lncRNA from 1 species
AAAUUAGAAGCCAACCUUGGGGGCCCUAUUUAGCCGAGUCUAUGCGGGCCCAUUGGGCCGUGCCCAUUAUGGGCCCUAUCAGGUCGUGCCCAUUAUGGGCCAACUUUGGGCUCUGUUGGGCCAUGUCCAAUAGUAUUAUUUUUGAAUUUUGCUUAGUCUGAAAUUAACAAGAAAUUAAUUAAACUUUAACAGGUGAACCUGAUCCGUCUACCUGAAGUAGGAAUCAAGCGAGAAGAGGUAAGUAACUUAAUGCUUCAAAGUGCAUUUCUCCAAAUUAUUUGGUAAAGUAAUUUAUUACUGGAUUAAAUUUUGAAAUAUGUUUUGUGUUUAGUAAAAUGGGUCUGGCAUAUUUAAUUUUAUUUGAAAAUUUUAUUAUAUGCUCUGAAUUCCGUGAAACAUGCUUGUACAGUUUAUGAAAUCUAUUUUUAUAUUUAUGCAUUCUCAGCAUGGCUAUGAUCUGUUCUGUUCUGUUCUGGCCCCGCCAAUGGGGAUUAUACGUUGGACCUGUCGACUUGUAUUCUGUGAGGAACCGGUUUCGACACCGCGCCACCGGUGAUUAGAAUAGUGGUUUCUGGACACCGUUUCCACCGGUGACUAACAAUAGUGGUUUCUGGCACUCUGUGCAACCCAUGCCACUGGGUUACGUGGCCGUAGCCUAUCAUGUUGAGAUUAUGAUAUCAGAGUUUUAUAAAAACAAAAAUGAUAUUAUUUAUGAUUUGU